GCAAUUAUAAAGAGAGGGGGAGGGGAAAAAUGCACACGGGAGCCAAUCAGAAAAGAAGCAUGCAGGAACAAGAACCUAAUACCGUUGGCACUGAUUCGAGGAGAAGGCAGAUCAUACCCGACUAAUUUAGUCCGACUGGACCCAGAAGGACAAGUGAGCAAAAUGAGAGCAGACAAAACAGAACAAACUUCUGUUGGAGAAGAGUUCGGGGAAUCAAGGCGUUACACAGACCUCUUUGUGUUUGUUCCUCAGUUGUCAUCGACAAAAAAGUACCCUUCACUCCACUGUGGUACAAAAACUGUUUCGACAUGAAAUGAUUGGUAUCCUUCAUUCUGCAUGACCUCUCAGCUGAACAGGCCGGGUUAAAAAAAAUAAAUAAGGGGACGACCCUCAGGACCUGUGCGCUGGCACGGUCAUCGUCAAAACACACGAUGAAUGAGUCAUCGGCCAAAGUACUGCAGACAUGACAGGCGACAGACGCUAGCUCCAGGGGAACAGAUCUGCUGGCAGGUUAUGGAUCAGUGGUAUUCAGUGACGUCGCUUGGUGUGAGGUGGGACCAAGGUGCUGAUCAGGUAUCCAAUUGAGUGAGAAUGUCGGGUUGAUUCUGCAGUCACGCUCUGUAUCGUUGCACGUUUAAACUUCUGAAGUUGUGAUUGGUACCUGCUAUCAGCUAAAAUCCGCCCCGUCCACUACUCAAAACAGAGUCAGGCUAUGUGUGCCUGGUACAGACUGAGUCAGUGGAAGAUUAAAACAAAAAAAAAUCCCUACAGGGCGGCUGUAUGUUUUAUAACUUUCAGCCUUUGGAGUGGGAACACAUGCAAUGUAGUUAGAAAUACUAAUAGUAAUCUAUUCAAACCUUGUUUUUACAUUUAUUUCUUUUUGUAGGGUGAAGACCUUUCCUUUAUUCCAAGGACCAGGAUGCAAUGCUCUAAAUGGGUUGGAAAAUUAAUGGUUUUAUAUGUCACAUUACAAUUCACAUAUGUCACGUUAUAUAUACGGUAGUUAUAGUUUCAUACACACCCAUUGCAUCAGAUUAACGUUUUAUAACUCCCCGUGCACACAGUCAGUCAUACCUGGACUUUGUUUUCAAAAAAACUUUAGAUUGCACAAUUUUUUACAUCACUAGUUUGGAGGUACAGUAGAUAUCUUCCAGUCUGACAUCAAUAUGGGACAGCCUUUCCCAAAAUAAACUUGAGCAUGAGUUUUUAUUGGGUCAUUCAUUAUUAAGAAUAUUAAAAUAAAUAAGCACAAUUUUCAGCAUUUUGUUUUUGCGUAAUAGUAAUGGCUGUUGUACUCUCGUUAUUUGUAUGUACUAUGUUGUGAAAAUAUUUUAAAUAUUUCUGUAUGUUUGAGUUCCUGAAGAUGAACAUUCUUAAUGUGGAUUUUGAGCAUAUUAUAUUUUCUACUUAGGUUCAUAUCAGAUGUUAAAAUGUAUCCAGUACAGUGGAAACUACCUCUUCAAGAUAUACAAACAUGUAAGACAAUGUCAUUAAAAGGGGGCAAUUAAAAUUACAUUAUAUUGAAAUACAGACUAUUCUAAAGAGAUUCAAAUUGAUCUGGGGAAAAAAAGCAUUUAGGCUGU